rnacentral:misc_RNA from 1 species
GAUGAAGAACGUAGCGAAAUGCGAUAAGUAGUGUGAAUUGCAGAAUUCAGUGAAUCAUCGAAUCUUUGAACGCACAUUGCGCCCCUUGGUAUUCCAUGGGGCAUGCCUGUUCGAGCGUCAUUUGUACCUUCAAGCUUUGCUUGGUGUUGGGUGUUUGUCUCGCCUUUGCGUGUAGACUCGCCUUAAAAUAAUUGGCAGCCGGCGUAUUGAUUUCGGAGCGCAGUACAUCUCGCGCUUUGCACUCAUAACGACAGCGUCCAAAAGUACAUUUUACACUCUUGACCUCGGAUCAGGGAGGGAUACCCGCUGAACUUAAGCAUAUCAAUAAGCGGCGGA